rnacentral:rRNA from 1 species
CUGCCCAGCAGAAGACCCGCGAAC